CAGACUCUUUCACAUAGGGCUCUUUCAUACCACACUUGUAGCAUUGUGAUUCCACUUACCUGCUAUGGCAACUUACUAUGGAAUCUCAGAGUUUGCAGUUGUUGUUGUUGUUGUUGUUGUUGUUGUUGUUGUUGUUGUUAUACGAGGGCUAUCCAGAAAGUACAUUAAGUUUUGAAAUUAAAAAUAAACAAAGUAUAGGAGAAACCAUACCAUAUGCAGUUGAAAGCCACACCCGAGUACCACAUCUCACGUAGUCGUCAACCACUUGUAUUCAACAAUGGGGGCGUGGCUGGCAAUGCAGCAUUUUGGCGACACUGCACAGCUGCGGAAACGGGGAAGGGUUGACGACGGAGGUGGCAGAAUUUAGUGGGGAAGGAGUUUCCAAGCUCAUUUAUCGCUAUGAUAAGUGCCUAGAUUUGAAUGGCGACUACGUGAAAUGUGGUAUUUGGGUGUGGCUUUCAACUGCAUAUGGUAAACAUUUUCUCUUAUACUUUGUUCAUUUUUAAUUCCAAAACGUAAUGUACUUUCUGGAUAACCCUUGUAUCAUGUAGCAUGAAAGCACCACUAGCUACAAUGUUAUUCCCAGACAAUCAAAGCUGAACCUGUUCCUCACACUGUGUGCACUCUGUCCUACCAUCCUCCUGCCCCGAUUCCUCCACAUUUAUUUUAGGUAAAAAGAAAUCCUAAUAGCACCAGCUGGAGGCUCAUAAUUAUCAGGAACAGAGCAAGUGCCAGUGGAGAAUAUGUUUCCAAUGGAAAUACUAGAGUCAGAAAAAGAUUUUCCCUCAAGACAGAGCAAGAGAAAGGAGGUUAAAUUCCCUCUCCGUGCCUCCUGUGAUCUUAUGAUUUAUGAAUUCCCCAGCUGAUGUGAUUUGCAUUAAAAAUAAAAAAAGGAAAAGCUUCACCUUAAUUUCAGAGAUGCAUUUAAUGUCAUGUAUAGUUUACUCAUCAGAUUUUUUUCCCCCCAUCAAAGCUCUUCAUUCUUAGAAAUCUGGGAAAUUGAACUUGUAGGUAGAAAGCAUUUUAAACCUCAGUUCCAGCCUCUGACAUGUAAAAAAAAAGAUCAGUGUUUUAUCAUACCUAUACAAUGGAAGAAAGGACUUAGAGCAGAGCUUGGACAUGUAACUUUUGACUACAUCUAACACAAUUCCCUUGACAUUCUUCACAUAUCAUGAUAAAUCAAAAAUAUUUUGGAUGAAAAAUCCAUUCUGACUGGGGAUUCUGGGAGAUGUCAUCCACAAAAGUAUUCUCCCCCCCAAACAGAUGCUUUGGUCUAUUGUGAUCUAGGAAGCGAUUUUUCAAGAAGAGAGUAGGAGGCAAAUCAAAGAAGUGCCUUGCAGGCAAUGGAGCAGAGAGAGGAUGACGACCAGGAAGAAGGAGGAGGUGAAAUCACAGUUGUCAGUGGAAAAAGCGGGUGACACUCUUGGAGAGCUUGAGGAGGUCAAUAAAUCACCACCCUUAUCUUGCAAACAGAGCCUGUGACUUCAAAAAUUAGCUCAUUUAUUCUGCACAAUUAAAUUUAUUGAAGUGUGACAGAAAAAGUUUAACAAGCACUGAAGCAGAAAGCCAGCAACAACAGAAGCAAGCAUCGGAGUGAAGUACACAAUUAGUUGAUUUUCAUUUUAUUUAUCAAUAUAAUUAUUGAAUUGUAUUUAUCCUAUUUCACAGAUUUUUACUAUUAUCGCUGGAUGGACUCAGGGGAAGAAUUAGGUCAUUUUUUAAAAGUCUAACUUAAUGUGAUUAUAGACUAGCUAUUAAAAGAAAACUUCUCUGAAAUACUCUGCAAUCCUGUAUUCAAUGAGGCCACAUCAUCUGGCUGCGAAAUUGAGUCUUUUUCACUCUGAAAGAAUUAAAUUCAAUAUGCGCUGUGAACACAAUGCUUUAAUUUAGACUCUGCCACCCUCCAAGAGAGUCUACUCCACUGUUGAACAGCUUUUAAGAGCAGGUAGUUCUUCCUAAUGUUUAGGUGAAAUCUCUUUUCUUUAAAUUUUAAUUCACUUGUCCAUUUCUGAGUCUCCAAAACAGCAGAAUACAAACUUGCUGUUUUCCUUCCACAAUGUGAAGGUAACUAUCAUUGGUUUCCAAGCCCUUUACCAUUUUGGUCACUUUCCAAUGGACACAUUCCAGUUUGCCAAAAUUCUUCUUCUGUGGAACUCAAAACUGCAUGUUUUUAUAAUUCACCUUAUGGAAUCUGAUGAAACAGAGGGAGUAGACUCUAGUUUUGAAAGGCUUCUGUUUCAAAUGACAGAUCUCUCACUAAAUCUGAGCAGGAUGUAGCAGAAAUAAUUAUAGAAUCAUAGAGUCCAACCCCCUGCAAGAAGCAGGGAAAUUGCAUUCAAAGCACCCUCGACAGAUGGUCAUCCAGCCUCUGCUUAAAAGCCUUCAAAGAAGGAGCCUCACCACACUCUGGGGCAGAGAGUUCUACUGCUGAACAGCUCUCACAGUGAGGAAGUUCUUCCUAAUGUUCAGGUGAAAUCUCCUUUCCUUAAUUUGAAGCCAUUGUUCCGUGUCCUAGUGUCCAGGGCAGUAGAAAACAAGCUUGCUCCCUAUGACUUCCCCUCACAUGGCUAUCAUGUCUCCUCUCAGCCUUCUCUUCUGCAGGCUAAACAUGCCCAGCUCUUUAAGCCGCUCCUCAUAGGGUUUGUACUCCAUACCACUGAUCAUUUUAGUCGCCCUCCUUUGGACACAUUCCAGCUUCUCAACAUCUCUCUUCAAUUGCAAUGCCCAAAAUUGGUCACAGUAUUCCAGGUGUGGUCUGACCAAGGCGGAAUAGAAGGGUAACAUGACCUCCCUGGAUCUAGACACUAUACUCCUAUUUAUGCAGGUCAAAAUGCCAUUGGCUUUUUUUGCUACAGCAUCACACUGUAGGCUCAUGUUUAACUUGUUGUCCACGAGGACUCCAAGAUCUUUUUCACACGUACUGCUGUCAAGCCAGGCGUCCCGUAUUCUGUAUCUUUGCAUUUCAUUUUUUCAUUUUUCAUAAUUGAUCAGAAACUUCAGGGAGAUGCCCCCAACCCCCACCUUUGAAUGGCCAGAAUUCAGGGACAGUAAGGAGACAUCCCCUUUUUAGCACAUCAGCAGUAAUGGGAGCUGCACAAAAGAGGCAGUGCCUCUUGCAGAGGCUUAAAUGAGAAACACUGAGCAAUUAGCCACUGGCAUCUCAAAAAUCAGGUAGCUAUAAAUUUCUCAGCAGCUCUUGGUCUUGUUGUUUUCAAUAGUUUGUUUUUGGCAACUCUUUCUUCUACCAGGCUUUCAGAAACCUUCAUGCUUGUUGGUUUACUUUGGAUUCUUGAUCUCUGGACUGGGUUAUAUUUUACACCUCAAUGUUUUUUUCCUUUUCACUUUGGUUAUUGACUACUGGCUUCUCAUGACAAACUAUGGAAUGACCUCUCAGCAGACUUCAACAUCAUUGACCAUGGUAUCCUUCUGGAACUCCAGGAGCGGCUGGGAAUCGAAAGAACUAUGCUGCAGUGGUUCUGGUCUUACCUCUUAGGCAGUUUCCAGAUGGUGGCACUUGGAGAUAACUGCUCCUCAAAAAAAGAGGUGUUAUGUGGUAUCCCACAAAGUACCAAUCUAUCCCCAAUGCGCUUUAAUAUUUACAUGAACACACUGAGAGAGAUCAUCCAUAGUCAUGGGGGUAGGGUGUUCUCAGUAUGCUGAUGACACCCAAAUAUAUUUCUCCAUGCCUUCCAAAACAGCAUAAGCUAAAGAUUGUGUCUUCUCUGAGUGAAUGCUUGGAGAAUAUAAUGGGCUGGAUGAGGAAAGGCAAAUUAAAAUUGAAUUCAGACAAAAUAGAGGUGCUUGCCAUCAAACGUCCACAUCUGGGGAUAUAUGUGUGUUGACCAGUUUUCGAUGGGGUUACACUCCCCCUGAAGAACUGUGUUUGCAGCCUGGGAGUGCUCCUGGAGCCAUUCCUCCAAAUUUCAGCCCAGGUAGAUGCGAUGGUCAGGAGUGCUUACUAUCAGCUUCAGUUAAUCUGCCAGCUGUGCCCCUUCUUAAGAUUUAGAGGACCUGAAGGUGGUAGAGCAUGCAUUGGUAACCUCAAGGUUGGAUUUCUGCAAUGUGUUUUACAUUGGGCUACCCUUGUACCAUUCAGAAAUUCCAGCUGGUUCAAAACACGUCAGAUCGGUUAGAGGAACAUCUAGGAGUGAGCAUAUUACACCUAUCCUAAAGUCACUCCACUGGCUGCCAAUUAGUUUCCAGGCAAAGUAACAAGGUGUUUGUUUUGACCUUUAAAGCCCUAUAUGGCUUGGGUCCAGGUUACCUAAAGGAUUGUCUUCUCCAUACAAUCCGCCCCGUACACUUCAGUCUUCUGCUCCAACCAGACAGAACUCAACUGGCAACCGUCACCCAGAGGACCUUUUCAUUGGCCAUCUCAAGACUGUGGAACGACCUACCGGAAAAACUCUAACAAAUGAAUGAGCCGACGGAAUUUUGAAACCAUAUGAAGACCUAUCUCAUCUGGCAGGCCUACCUAGACAAUCUUUAAACAUGAAUUUUAAAUGUGUGUCUUUUGUUUAAUCUCUGUUUUGUGUAUUUUAAUACAUAUUUUAUAGGGAUAAGUUUUGGUGUGUAACUUUUAUAGAGGUACAUUUUAAUAUGUGUAUUUGUGGUAUUUUUGCUGUGCUUAUGUGUUUUAAUUGUUCUGUAACUCACCUCGAGCCAUGAGGAGAGGUACAGUAGAUAAGAAAUAAAAUUAUUAUUAUUUUUCUUUUCAGGAUAA